ACUUGGAAAGGAACUUGGAAAGUAACGCAAAUGCAGGUGCUUAUGCAGAUGCUUUAUCAACAAGAUGCUUGAAAAGUAACACAAAUGCAGAUGCUUUUAUCAAAACUCAAGAUGCUUGAAAAGUAAUGCAGAGAUGCUUUAUCAAACUCAAGAUGUUUGAAAAGCAACACAAAUUAUCACCCUGAGUCCCUUCCGCACAAAUGCUUUAUCAAAUGCACAGCCUAUUUAAUCCCGGUCUCCUCGCCUACUCGCCUACCCAAUCCCUGAGUCCCUCACAUUCUCAAUCAUGUCAGCAGCACCUCCUCCUGCCCAAACAAAAAUGUCGGCAGCACCUCCUGCCCAAACCGGUAAGAACCUCAUCGAAACUGCCUUGCCACCUCCACCUCCUCCUGCCCAAACCGGUAUGAACCUCCUCCCACCUCCUCCUC
rnacentral:lncRNA from 1 species